rnacentral:RNase_P_RNA from 1 species
UUGACAAACGCUGCAUACUUGUUAUGUAGAGGAAAGUCCAUGCUCGCACAGUCUGCGAUGACUGUAGUGUUUGUGCUUAGGGAAAAAAUAACCUAAGGUAGUAAUAACUAACGGCUCCAGAUGACCUAAAUCAAUCGACAUGGUCUAUGGUAUAAAAGUGCCAAAGAGACGAGACUAAGGGAAACUUUAGUUGUGGAACGUGGUAAACCCCGCAAGCGAGAAACCCAAAUUUUGGUAGGGGAACUUUGAUAAGGAAAUGAACUGAUUCAAGGAUCAAGUAAUUGAUAGAUAAAUGUUUGUCACCUUUUAGGUACAGAACAUGGCUUAUAA